rnacentral:rRNA from 1 species
UACGUAGGGUGCGAGCGUUGUCCGGAAUUAUUGGGCGUAAAGAGCUUGUAGGCGGUUUGUCGCGUCUGCCGUGAAAUUUCGAGGCUCAACCUCGAACUUGCGGUGGGUACGGGCAGACUAGAGUGUGGUAGGGGAGACUGGAAUUCCUGGUGUAGCGGUGAAAUGCGCAGAUAUCAGGAGGAACACCGAUGGCGAAGGCAGGUCUCUGGGCCGAUACUGACGCUGAGGAGCGAAGGCGUGGGGAGCGAACGGG